AAAUGCGAUAAGUAGUGUGAAUUGCAGAAUUCAGUGAAUCAUCGAAUCUUUGAACGCACAUUGCGCCCCUUGGUAUUCCAUGGAGCAUGCCUGUUCGAGCGUCAUUUGUACCCUCAAGCUCUGCUUGGUGUUGGGUGUUUGUCCCGUCUCCGCGCGUGGACUCGCCCCAAAGUGAUUGGCAGCCGGCGUACUGGUCCCGGAGCGCAGCACAUGUCGCGCAAACGAGUGCCUUGGUACGGCGGCGUCCAUAAGCCCCUCUCUCACGCUCUUGACCUCGGAUCAGGUAGGGAUACCCGCUGAACUUAAGC
rnacentral:misc_RNA from 1 species